rnacentral:lncRNA from 1 species
GUGAAGCCAGAACGUCAAAGCAAGCUCAGCAGAUCCAUGCACAUCACCUGCCCUUCAUCUGGGAGAGAAGAGGGGCGAGCCACGGCCACUUCGGCAGCUGGAGAUAACAGCCUCACCAGAGCUCACUCCUGAUGGGGAAACACAUCUCUUCCCCGCUCACCUUCCGUCUCAAAUGCUUGAGGCUGUUGCCAUUUUGAGGGAACUGCCAGACAAAGCAAAGAAAAUGAAGAUUUCUGUCUUGGGAAUUGAACCUUCAGUGUCUUCUUGUGUAAGAGCACCUAGGACACAUGGAGUGGGAAGACCCUUUGAGGAACAGAGGAGCUGGGCUACUGAGAGCUUUUGUCUGUCAAUGAAAUUAAGUUCUUGCCUUUUUCUUUAUAUGAUUCCCAAAUACCUGUUUUCUAAACUUACGUUUCCUCAAGUAAUAAAACAUUCCACCGGAGAAGAAAAAGGUAAAACUUCUACUGUUUAUCCUGGAUUCCUCACUGAAUAGAUUAAAGGGAUGUAAGAAUGAGGAGUCAUGAAGAUCCCCUUUCUCAGAGAAGACUUUAAGUGAUGCAGUUAUAACACAUUUUUGAAGUGUGUUGAACCAAAAGGCCUGGGACAACGAGGUUUAAACUGAAGAGGUGGAAGAAGAGUGGGAGCAGGGGUGCGGAAUGAUGGUGUCAAUUAAACCUUGUGUUAGGGAUGAAAAAUGACAUCACCUGCACAUUGCUGACACCCACACUCCGCUCAGGGCUGAGAAGUACAGCAAAUUUGAACUUGGUGAAGUGAGAAAGUUGAGAGUAGAUUUAAAGGGAUGGAUGGCUUUGUCAAAUAUUCUAUUUUAGAUAGGGGAAAAUAAAGAUAAAAAUAAAACAUUUUGGCUGUGUUGU